GACGUCGCGUUUAUUCCACGCCGCACCGUCCUUUCCAGAACCCUCUGGUCUCCGCGUGCGGCGGCGCGAUUUCUUUGCUUCUCCCUUCCACUUCGAGAGAUUGUUGAUUAUUCUAGAGCCAGAUCCGGGUAACAGAUUCGAGUUUGCGCCCGCCCUGUUCGGCUUCAGAUAUGGGGAACACUACAUCUGUGCAAGCUGAGGCUUCAGAUUCAGCGCAGAAACCUGCCACAACAGCUCCUGCACCUGGGUCAAAGCCGAAAAAGAUCUGCUGUGCUUGCCCAGAUACAAAGAAGCUGAGGGACGAUUGCAUCGUGCAGAAUGGCGAGGAUGCCUGCGGAAAGCUCAUCGAAGCCCACCUGAAAUGCCUGAGAGCCGAAGGGUUCAGCGUCUGACGUGGUGCUCCAUCAUGGCAACUCCACACACCUGUUUCUGCAGUAAUCUGAUUUUGAUCAUGAACAGUGUGAUGAAUAAGGACUUCUGGUAGAGUGAUAGAAACAACUCGCAGUUUUAUUUCUAGACUGGAAGGAGGAAAUCCCCUGAACAUUGCCAGUUUGCAAGAGUUUUUCUAUCUUUUUUCAAUGCAUUUAGUGCCACACAUAUCUGCAAUUCUGGAUAAUACUUUAUGGAGCAUAUGUAUAUGGAAAUUGCUUUUUUUUGGUCCACUGUUUGGAGAUUGAGCACCACACUGUAUGGAACAACUGUUGCAAAAGUUUUCUACUGGCUAGAGCUUUCAGUCACUUAAUCCAGUGAUGUAUGAAUGAAGAAGAUAUUACCCUC